CUGGUGAAGAAGUAGGAACAAUACUGCUGUGUGUGAGAAAACCACUCAGAAGGGGGUGGGCUGGCUGGUCAUGGAGAGCCUUGGAGGAGCACUGGUGAAGAAGCAGGAGCAACAUUGCUGUGAAGAGCUGUGUGUGAGAAAACCACUCAGAAGGCAGAACAAGAGGAGAAAUAGGUGACCACAGAAACCUGGCAAGCAUGAAAAUGAUCCUUGGCUUUCUCAGUGGGACUGAAAAUUCAAAAAGGGACCAAGGAAGCAUGGAAGAAAUAACCCUAGAAAUGCAUCUUCACUUACCAAAUGUUACUGCACCAACUUAAGAAAUCUUUGCACUGGCAAAAGAGCUCUGUUUCCCCAGAAAAGGUCUCCACUUCUCUGAAUGACUCAAGGGUUCACUUGUAACUGAGGCAAAACCUCCCGUGGUGACCAGUUCUGAGCACUUUAUCACCAGCUCUAGGAGCUUCCCAUAAUUAUGCUCUGCAGGUAAAUUACCAUCAACACAACAAACACAGCCAGACAUUAAACAUGAACUGAGAAGCAUCUGGAAUCUUUGAAGAGACAGAAAAUGUAAUGUGAUUGGAGUUGCUCUGAAGAUAGCUAUGAAAGUACUUCCUGUUUGAGAGGAUUUUGCCCACAUGUUGUCCCAAGAAUAACACCAAACAAUAACUGACAUUUCUGCAGGGUCUUUGGAACAAGGAGCUUACAGAACAGAAGUGGAAUUGUUUCCAGUUACCCAAGUUUCUUUAUCAUUUAUGAUCAGGGCCUCAAAAUCAAUGCUCCAGCUUGAAGCUGUGCCUCUUGGUAGGGCAGCAUGGCAUUCAUGUCACCCUUGGCAAAAGUUGGGAAGACUGUGCCUGACAGACAAGAUGCCCAUGAUCAUUCACCUUCUGUGAUUUAAUCCCUUGGGACUGGGGCAGGGAGAGCUGCUUCACUUCCUGUGCUUUUCACACAGGAGUUAAAGGCCAUAAGAGUAAGACUCAAAUCCAGCUUCUUCCUCCAUCUCUUCCCAGCAACCAAAUUUCAAGUCUGAGGCACACUCCUGUGGAAUGCUGUAUCUGUUUGAGAGCAAAUUAAUUACAUGCACGUUAGAAAGGUGAGCAAAUUAAAAUCCUCUUGCUUUAUAUAUUUGUCCUCUGUGUUGAAUUUCCUGAGAGAAAAUGGACAAUUAAAACUGCACAGAAUUCCUUAGGAACUGCCUGUAGCCGUGUGAGAGCCAGCACAUGGAUGUGAGGAGGCAGCCAGAAGGAAUAAUUCCUUGUGAAGGAAUAAUUGAAAGGAGUAACAGGGAGUACCAUGUGGCCACAGGCAGCAUGGAGCCAGGCUAGCAAGGGCCACAGGUGCCAACAGCUCUAGGAACCACAAGAAUAAAUCCCUAAGGAAAGAGUAGCUAUACCUAGGACAUGGGCAUCACUCAGUGAAGAAUCUGGACAGAUAAAUCCUGGAGGAUUUUGCUGCAUCUGUGCAAGAUAGUUCUGCAAAUCCAGCUGUGAGUGGCUGGGGACAAAUCAGGAUUGUUCCUCUGCCUCAGCCAUCACUGUCUGCAGUGCAGUUUUUAAGCUAGAACACUUCUGUGGGGUUUGUGCUAAAGCAAGGAUUCUAACUGGCACAUUGACAAUGAAGACAUGUAUCUUGCUCUGAUGCUGUGACAGGCAGUAAUGGACUAUUUACCUGUGGGCAGCACUGCCAGGAGCCCCUGCCAGCUCAGCUUUAAGGGCCCCAUGAGAGCUGAAAAGAUGGUCUUGUUAGGACACAUUCCUGAUGGGAAAGGAAUCUUCUUCCAGGUCCUGCCCAGACACACCAGGACUGUUCAAAGCCUGGCCUGGAAAAGAAGAUUAAUGCUCCUUCACACUGGCUUGCAUGUUCUUUUAUAUUACCACAUCUCUAGAAAGAACACAUUUGAAGAAAUAAACUCAAUUUUAAAAAGCCAGGGGUGAGGUGUUUAUUGUUAGUAUGUCCUUUUACUCAGAGAUAAAUGGUUAAACUCUUCCUAAAGUAUCUGAACACUGAAGACAAAGCUGCUUUUGUGACAGCAAGUUCAGUGAAGAUUUGGGACUCCACUCUUCUGGAUACUGAAUUCCCUUCUCUGAGCUUACAGCCAAGAACUGGACACUGGGAGAGCCUAAGCCCUGACUGUACAGCAGAGGUAAAGCACUGCUUACCCACUAUAUAAGGAAUAGAUCUCCAGGCUGCAAUCUCAGCAAAAGAAGGAAAACUUACUAAUAAAAACUAUAAAUGCAGAAGUGUUUAUGGGACAUGUUACAUAACACUCCUCCUCAAGCUUUGUGCCUUCCCCUGAGCUGACAAACACCAUGAAUCGUUUUAUCUCUCUGCCUCUUUAUAUUAAAGGGAGUCUAAUUUUAAGAACAGAAACUGGGCCAGUUUCUUAUGAUUUAAAGCUAUAAAUUAGCAUUCAUAUGAGCAAAGAGUUUGCAUCCUGUUCUGUUUCCUGUUUCUGUCCUACCUUCCCCCCCAAAGAAUAUCAUGCUUUUUUUUUCUUUUUGCAGACUAAUGCUGGAAGCAGGAGUAGUUCCACAAUUUCAGAGUGCACUUAAGAGAGAACAAAUAUAUUUUUCAAAUUGGAGAAUUACACUAAAAGGCUUAAGUAAUUUUUAUGAUGGUUGAGGUAAUAGAUGGCAUCUGCUUUUCUUUGCAAAUAAAUGUCACAUAGCAAGCCUACAAUUCUAAAAGAUGUGAACAGCUGCUAACCAAAAAGAGGCCAAAAGUUGCAGUGGGACAAAAAGCAUUUUCUUAAUAUAUUGUAAGGAAGACAGUCUGGCUUUGCCUGUUAACACGACAAGAUGAUAUUAGAUCCCCAUAUAAUCCUCAAGUUGAAAGAAAAUGCAAAUACAGGGAAACCUCAUCCCAACCCAUCCGGAAGAGUGAACACAGCAACGAUGCUGCUGUCUCAAACACACCCAACUUCCAUGACAAAUAGAAGACAAUAACAUAUGUUGAGGUACAACAAGGGGUUUUGCUACUUUCUCCAGAAAAAGGCGUUUUUACCUAAUAGAAAUAGAAUUUCUACCUCUGGGCUUUAAGGGCAGUUUGUGUAAAUGGUUUGAUUUCUAGUUGCUGGGUGCUGUGCUGGAAAGGAAGAGAGGGCCAGCCAUGUAGGAAGCAGCCGACAGCCGCCCGUGCUGUGGGAGUGCAUCCCUGGAGUACAUGCAUGGGAGGGAGCCAGCUUUGGAGCACUGGGAGAGGUUCAGCUGGCAGCACACCAGGAACAUUUUGCUCCCAGCUCAGAGUGAGUAUGGGAAGAGUAUUGGAAAAUAGAGCACCUUCACAAGAUGUCAUUUCUCAGAGUAACUAAAAGCUGUCAUGGCUUGAGGGAAGAAUGUAGGGGGAAAAAUGGAUCAGGAAAGAAAGCCUAGGGAAAACACAGGAGGAGAGAGAGUGUGAAAACAUGGCAGAAAAAACAAGAAAAGGGGGUUAGAGUAGGUGGACAAAUGAAAAGAGGAGAAACAGAAGAAAAGAAAAAGGAAUAGAAAGGAGAAAAAGAUCAAAGACCUUGGAAGUGACCAUGUUUGGGGUGCAGUGGCACUUGCAGGGAGAAAUCAUUAUCUGGUCAACUCAAAGGGCCUGCCUGAGGUGAUUUUCACCCAGCCAAGCCUUAUGUGAGGUUUUGCUGCCCACGUGUGUCAGGGUGUCCACACAAGGAGCUCCAAGAGGGAGAAGGUGUCAGGGCUGGGGCAGGGUCUCAGCCAGGAGGGGACACCCAGCCAUCUGCACACACGUUUUGUGGGUUAUUCCACUGUGCACCAGUCCUACCCUUUCACAGACAGCACAUCUGCUACUCCCAAUCUACUCUGCCUUUGGUUACCCUGUUUUUCAUAGGACCCAUCUCUCCAUCUCUUCAGGGGAUACCUUUCCUUUCCUUAGCAUCCCUCUUUCACAGCCUGGAAAACUCAGCUUUAGAGAUGAAAGGAGAGCAGCCCCCCAGUAUCUACAGGAAGCACAAGCUCGUCUCUCCUCCCUAGGCUGUGGGGAGCACUGGUUCCCAGAAUAAGCCCAGUCCAACAGGGAAAGCUGGGCUGGGGCACAGCAAUGCCUGGUGUCUGCUGGAGUGCAGAGCCACCCAAGGACAAAUCCAUCUUGUGGUCGUAUUCAAGGCUUCAAAAUCCACUUUUGUUUCCAUAAGGAAUUACAACAAACUCUUUCAAACGUUUCUAUGACACAGAAUUGUGUUGAAACAUCUGUUUUCUAGCUGAAGAUAUUUUUUAUUACUCUCCAAGGACACUGUCCUAGACCCUUCCAAUCAAAUAUUUUGCUGUGAAAGACCAUGGCUGUUUUAACUGACCCUUUCCUCAGCUCACUGCUCAGAUAUGAUACAUACAGAAUGCCCAGUGAGUAACUGAAAAUUUUCUUUGUCUCCACUAUGUAUUUGUCUACAAAUAAGCUACCUUACACUCCCUAAAUAUUGAAAAAUACAAAGAAAGGUGCCAUUUAUUACAUUUUAACUGAAAAAUAAUUUGGCUGAUGCAUGACUAAAGGAUACUUCACAACCUCCUAUUUCUUUAUUCAAGGAAGA